rnacentral:rRNA from 1 species
CUACGGGUCGCAGCAGUGAGGAAUAUUGCACAAUGGAGGAAACUCUGAUGCAGCAACGCCGCGUGGAGGAUGACGCAUUUCGGUGUGUAAACUCCUUUUAUAUGUCAAGAAAAUGGCGGUAGCAUAUGAAUAAGCUCCGGCUAACUCCGUGCCAGCAGCCGCGGUAAUACGGAGGGAGCAAGCGUUACUCGGAAUCACUGGGCGUAAAGGACGCGUAGGCGGGAUAGAAAGUCAGGUGUGAAAUCCUAUGGCUCAACCAUAGAACUGCACUUGAAACUUCUAACCUAGAGUAUGGGAGGGGAAGAUGGAAUUAGUGGUGUAGGGGUAAAAUCCGUAGAUAUCACUAGGAAUACCAAAAGCGAAGGCGAUCUUCUGGAACAAUACUGACGCUAAGGCGUGAAAGCGUGGGGAGCAAACAGGAUUAAUACCCUGGUAGUC